rnacentral:rRNA from 1 species
GACGAACGCUGGCGGCGUGCUUAACACAUGCAAGUCGCACGAGGACGGGAGCUUGCUCCCGAGCCGAGUGGCGGACGGGUGAGUAACACGUGACCAACCUGUCCUAGGGUGAGGGACAACCUGGGGAAACCCGGGCUAAUACCGCAUGAUGUCUCGAGGUCGCAUGGCCAUGAGAUCAAAGAGGGCCUCUGCUUGCAAGCUCUCGCCCUGGGAGGGGUCGCGGCGUAUCAGCUAGUUGGUGAGGUAACGGCCCACCAAGGCUACGACGCGUAGCGGGUCUGAGAGGACGACCCGCCUCAUUGGGACUGAGAUACGGCCCAGACUCCUACGGGAGGCAGCAGUGGGGAAUAUUGCGCAAUGGACGAAAGUCUGACGCAGCGACGCCGCGUGUGGGAGGAAGCUCUUCGGGGUGUAAACCACUGUCAGGAGGGAAGAAACUCGCAGGACCGAACAGGCCCGGCGAUUGACGGUACCUCCAAAGGAAGCGCCGGCUAACUCCGUG